GAUGAACGCUGGCGGCGUGCCUAAUACAUGCAAGUCGAGCGAACAGACGAGGAGCUUGCUCCUCUGACGUUAUCGGCGGACGGGUGAGUAACACGUGGAUAACCUACCUAUAAGACUGGGAUAACUUCGGGAAACCGGAGCUAUUACCGGAUAAUCUAUUGAACCUCAUGGUUCAAUAGUGAAAGACGGUUUUGCUGUCACUUAUGGAUGGAUCCGCGCCGCAUUAGCUAGUUGGUAAGGUAACGGCUUACCAAGGCGACCAUGCGUGGCCGACCUGAGAGGUGGACCGGCCACAUGGGAACUAAGACAGGCUCAAGACUCCUACGGGAGGAGGCAGUAGGGAACCUUCCGCAAGGGGCGAAGGCCUGACGGGGCAACGCCGCGUGAGUGAUGAAGGUCUUCGGAUCUUAAAACUCUGUUAUUAGGGAAGAACAAAUGUGUAAGUAACGAGGCACGGAUUGACGGUACCGAAUCAGAAAGCCACGGCUAACUACGUG
rnacentral:rRNA from 1 species